UUAAUUUGUCGUAUUCAGCAGAAGACGAGACUAAAAGACAGAGACCUGUGAUGAUACACCGGGAUAUAUUAGGAUCAGUUGUACGCAUGUUCGAUAUACUAAUGGAGCAUUAUAAGUGGAAAUGGCCAUAUUGGCCUGGCUUAGUCCCUGUCAAGCAAUGGUCCGCCCUGUAUCUGACAAGUCCCAAGCUUAUGGCCGGACAGCGGGAGGCAGAGUUUAAAAGAUACACCGUCGUCAAAGAACACAGGAGGAAGUAACACAUACCAGGAGUGAACAUUGUGGUGGUAUGAUCACAGCAGAUGGCUAAGAGCCACGGUCUAUGGUGCACUUGUUAUCUAUCCUACUUUUGGUUCUUUAUAUCCCUUUCUACAACCCAAAGUCGAGUUUUCUG